UACAGAGGGGGCAAGCGUUAUUCGGAAUUAUUGGGCGUAAAGGGCGCGUAGGCGGCAUGGCAAGUGGAAGGUGAAAUCCCUCGGCUUAACCGAGGAACUGCCCUCCAAACUGCUUUGCUUGAGGCCGGGAGAGGUGAGUGGAAUUCCCAGUGUAGCGGUGAAAUGCGUAGAUAUUGGGGGGAACACCAGUGGCGAAGGCGGCUCACUGGACCGGUUCUGACGCUGAUGCGCGGAAGCCAGGGGAGCAAACGGG
rnacentral:rRNA from 1 species